rnacentral:rRNA from 1 species
UCAGGUGGCCGCAGAGAAUAGGCCCAAGCGACUGUUUACCAAAAACAUAGGUUUCUGCUAAGUCGCCAGACGAUGUAUAGGAGCUGACGCCUGCCCGGUGCUGGAAGGUUAAGGGGAUCUGUUAGAGCAAUCGAAGCAGUGAACUUAAGCCCCAGUAAACGGCGGCCGUAACUAUAACGGUCCUAAGGUAGCGAAAUUCCUUGUCGGGUAAGUUCCGACCCGCACGAAAGGCGUAACGAUUUGGGCACUGUCUCAACAACAGACUCGGUGAAAUUGUAAUUCCGGUGAAGAUGCCGGAUACCGGCGACAGGACGGAAAGACCCCAUGGAGCUUUACUGUAGCUUGACAUUGGGUCUUGGUACUACAUGUACAGGAUAGGUGGGAGGCUUUGAAACCAGGACGACAGUUUUGGCGGAGCCAUCCUUGGGAUACCACCCUUGUAGUACUGGGACUCUAACCAUAGGCCAUGAAUCUGGUCUUGGGACACUGUCAGGUGGGCAGUUUGACUGGGGCGGUCGCCUCCCAAAAGG